rnacentral:rRNA from 1 species
GAUGAACGCUGGCGGCGUGCUUAACACAUGCAAGUCGAACGAUGAAGCCCAGCUUGCUGGGUGGAUUAGUGGCGAACGGGUGAGUAACACGUGAGUAACCUGCCCUUAACUCUGGGAUAAGCCUGGGAAACUGGGUCUAAUACCGGAUAGGAGCGUCCACCGCAUGGUGGGUGUUGGAAAGAUUUAUCGGUUUUGGAUGGACUCGCGGCCUAUCAGCUUGUUGGUGAGGUAAUGGCUCACCAAGGCGACGACGGGUAGCCGGCCUGAGAGGGUGACCGGCCACACUGGGACUGAGACACGGCCCAGACUCCUACGGGAGGCAGCAGAGGGGAAUAUUGCACAAUGGGCGCAAGCCUGAUGCAGCGACGCCGCGUGAGGGAUGACGGCCUUCGGGUUGUAAACCUCUUUCAGUAGGGAAGAAGCGAAAGUGACGGUACCUGCAGAAGAAGCACCGGCUAACUACGUG